rnacentral:tRNA from 1 species
GGGCCCGUAGCUCAGCUUGGUAGAACCCUUUUUAGAAAAAAGCGUUCACGGAAAAAAGGAUGCCAGAAGCAACAGCCUUUUAAGCUGUGGGUCGCGCGUUCGAAUCGCGUCGGGCCCG